UGGCUCAGUCAGUGGAGCGUGGGACUCUUGAUCUCAAGGUUGUGAGUUCAAGUCCCAC
rnacentral:tRNA from 1 species